AGAGUUUGAUCCUGGCUCAGGAUGAACGCUGGCGGCGUGCCUAAUACAUGCAAGUCGAGCGAACGGACGAGAAGCUUGCUUCUCUGAUGUUAGCGGCGGACGGGUGAGUAACACGUGGAUAACCUACCUAUAAGACUGGGAUAACUUCGGGAAACCGUAGCUAAUACCGGAUAAUAUUUUGAACCGCAUGGUUCAAAAGUGAAAGACGGUCUUGCUGUCACUUAUAGAUGGAUCCGCGCUGCAUUAGCUAGUUGGUAAGGUAACGGCUUACCAAGGCAACGAUGCAUAGCCGACCUGAGAGGGUGAUCGGCCACACUGGAACUGAGACACGGUCCAGACUCCUACGGGAGGCAGCAGUAGGGAAUCUUCCGCAAUGGGCGAAAGCCUGACGGAGCAACGCCGCGUGAGUGAUGAAGGUCUUCGGAUCGUAAAACUCUGUUAUUAGGGAAGAACAUAUGUGUAAGUAACUGUGCACAUCUUGACGGUACCUAAUCAGAAAGCCACGGCUAACUACGUGCCAGCAGCCGCGGUAAUACGUAGGU
rnacentral:rRNA from 1 species